UUAUCCUUGGGAAGCGUUGAAGUAUAGCCUCUACCUGGACACUUAGGCUAUAUGGAGCUAGUAGUGUAACCGGCCCUCUUAA
rfam:Bacillus sp. B-jedd genome assembly, contig: CONTIG000001